rnacentral:rRNA from 1 species
UACGGAGGGGGCUAGCGUUGUUCGGAAUUACUGGGCGUAAAGCGCACGUAGGCGGCGAUUUAAGUCAGAGGUGAAAGCCCGGGGCUCAACCCCGGAAUAGCCUUUGAGACUGGAUUGCUUGAACAUCGGAGAGGUGAGUGGAAUUCCGAGUGUAGAGGUGAAAUUCGUAGAUAUUCGGAAGAACACCAGUGGCGAAGGCGGACUCACUGGACGGAUUGUUGACGCUGAGGUGCGAAAGCGUGGGGAGCAAACGGG